UCUGAUUCUGCCUCUGAACAGAAAGUGAAAGACGCAGGACUUUUGGGUAUUCCCCUUCAAUCUGUUCUCACGGGCAAUACAUACAGUACUAACAUUUUGUGUCUCUUCGCACAAAGAAGUGGUUGGAAUAGUUAGCUGGUGUCCAGAGGACUUGAGCCAUGAAUGUCCCAAAGUGUCCCAGUUGUCAUCAGUUUAAUGUCAUCACGGUUAUGGAUGGUCAGUGUGCAGUCUGCAGAUCUUGCUCUGUAGUGAACAGGUCUGUGUUUCGUUUCUGUGUGGCAUGUCAGAGAGAGUUGCCACACAGCGCUUCGAUCACCAAUUCCUGCACACUGCCGAACUGUGCGCUCCGUGCUGCCCUCCUCAGCGACACAAAAAUCACUGAUCCACACAGCUCUGCGAGAGGAUGUCCAUACUUCAGGGCCUGUCCAGGGUGCAAGACCCUGCUUACACACAACGGAAAAGGCUGCCCCAAUAUCAUCUGCCCUCAGUGUAACACACAUUUCUGCUUCCGCUGCCUCCGUCAGUGCUGCCCCGGGAUACAGGAUAUUGAAACCCUUCGGCUUCUUACCCAUCGACUGUCAAAUUACCUGUUGACUAAUGAUGUAAUUCCAUGCAGAAUUGUGGACAACAAUCAGAGUCUCACUGCUUUUGGACUUUAAUGUAAAAGAUGUGACUAUAAAAACUGAUAAAAGGGAGAACAUUAAAACCCACCUACAGUAUAAUGGAAAAUGUUCAGCUAAGGCUGAACAUUUUGUGAUUUAUAAUGGAAUAUAAACAUAUUUCACCAAGAUUAUAAUCAGGCAUUGUAAUAUGCCUUCAAGGAAGUAAUUUAAUUUUAGUCAGUAAAUAAACUUGGCCAUUACUGAAAAUAUAUACUAAACUCAUUUAAAACAAUGUUUUUUUUUAUUUUUUAUUUAUAUAUAUGUUUUUUUUUUAACCUUUAUUGAGAACUGUUUCUCAUUUGCAACAGCAACCUGGCCAAGAUGAAAGUGUUAAGGUACAGAUAACAUAAAAUUAAGCAUGUAAUUACAACAAGAAAGAGAAGUACACAAUAAAGAAUAAUAAAACAAGAAUAAAAUGUGCAGAUCAUCAGAUCAAAAUAUAGAGCUCCACUGAUUAGAGUGUGCAAAAGAGUGUGCACUUUUCCAACUUAAGCUUUCCAAAGCAGUCACCAGGCCUUCAUGGUUUAAGGGAAUUGAUACAGUCUCAUCGUUAGGCUCAAAAUUAUAGAGAUUCUUUAAAACUUUUCUUUUCAUAUCUUUCUAUGUCAUUUCAUACUAUAUUUAGUGAAUAAAAGCAAUUACAUUUAAUGUAAUUUUACAGUAAAAUACUGUUAAAAAUACGAUUUUUGCAGUGAAAAAGAAAAAGUCAUUGUAUAAUUUACAGUGAUUUUUUUAAAAAUUGACACUCCCAGAAUUCCCUGCAUGACACUUCAUUUGAUGUUUUUUUUUUUUUUUUUUUUUUUUAAACAACAUGUUUCUUCUUAGUUUUUCUUAUCAGUUCAACAUCUACAUCUAAUUUUGUUAAAAUCAUGUUUAUUACAUAGUUUCAGUAUUGUGUGUCACCAUGAUGGGGUUAAGUGUUUCUGUGAAUGAUGCUGUGCACCUUUUAUAUGUAAGUUUUGCCGCCCUCAGCUCAUAGAAAUGCUGUUUGUGAUGAGCUUUGGUUCAUCAUGUGACUUUCUCAUCACCACCAGUUUUUGGUUUUUAUCAGUAGGGCUGUUCGAUUCCACAAUUUUUGUAAUCGAUUCUGAUUCCAAUUCCUGGUCCUGGAAUCGAAUGAAAUCGAUUCCUCACUGUUGUUUUCGAUUCUUUUCCAAUUUUUUUAUUUUUAUUUUUAUUUUUAGAUAAAAAGGAACCUAAUCUCACCAUGAUGACUGCAGGAUAGGUCGUAUAAUUUAUCCUUCCUAUAAUAUGAAGCUGGAAAAAAAAAUAACGAUACGAACAUUUAAGUUUUUUCAGCUUUGCCCGUGAAAUUAAUCAUAGCCCAGCUCUGCAUGAAUUAAAUAAUACAUGAAAUGUCUAAAAUAAAUGUGCCCAGUUCAGUUGAA